ensembl:lncRNA
GCUCAUGUCCACUGUUUGGUCUUCAAAAACAUUCAGCAAAUGUCAAUGAAUGUCAGAUCCCCUGGCACUUUACAAGCAGCACAGACAUAAUAAAACAACAAAGUAAGGCACACAAACACCUACAGCGAAACAUCAACCAUCAAAUUCCAGUGCCCAGAUACAUCUCACCAAUAGUCUCCAACUUAAACAAAUGAAACUGGACUAGUCCUACAGAAGCAAACAUUGCUUUAACUUCAUAACCAAAGCAGGAGGAAAUAGGGAGAUAACGGCAAAC